UGGAGUGCAGUGGUGCAAUCUCAGCUCACUGAAACCUCUACCUCCUGAGUUUAAGAGAUUUUCCUGCCUCAGCCUCGCAAGUAACUUGGACUACAGGCAUGUGCCACCACGCCCAGUUAAUUUUUGUAUUUUUAGUAGAGACAGGGUUUCACCAUGAUGGUCAGGCUGGUCUCGGUCUCCUGACCUUGUGAUCCACCCACCUCAGCCUCCCAGUGUGCUGGGAUUGCAGGCAUAAGCCUCUGUGCCUGGCCUCUUUUCUUUUCUUUUUUUUGAUGAGUCUUGCUAUCACCCAGGCUGGAGUGCAGGGGUACAAUCUUGGCAUCUAGGCUCACUGCAAUCUCUGCCUCCCAGAUUCAAAUGAUUCUCCUGCCUCAGCCUCCUGAGUAGCUGGGAUUACAGGCAUAUGUCACCACGCUGGGCCAAUUUUUGUAAUUCUUUUUAGUAGAGAUGGGUUUUCAUCAUGUUAGCGAUGUUUGGUCUCGAACUUUUGACCUCAAGUGAUCCAUUCGUCUCAGCCUCCCAAAGUGCUGGGAUUACAGAGGUGAGCCACUGCACUGGCCUAAUAUGCUAGUAAUAAUAUAGCUGAAAAAAUAUAUAAGGCAAUCUCAUUUAUAAAAGUUGCCAAAAAUAUGCCUAACAAUAAAAUUAGCCAAGGAGGUAAAAUAGCUUUAUUAGGGAAACUAACAAAACACUGAUUAAAGAAAUUGAAGGCAACCCCAGCAAAUAGAAAAGCAUCCUAUGGUCAUGGACCAGAAGAAUUAAUAUCACUAAAAUUAUCAUGUUACUCAAGGCAGUCUACAGAUUCAGUCCAUCCCUAUUAAAAUGCCAACAUUCUUUCACACGAAGUUAGAAAAAAUAGUUCUAGAAGUAAUAUAAAAUAAAGAAGAGCCCAAAUAACCAAAGCAAUCCUGAGCAAGAAGGACAAAUCUGGAGGCGUCAUAUUACCUGACUUUACAAAGUCAUAGUAUCCAAAACAGCACAGUAUUUGUAUAACAAUAGAUACAUAGACCAAUGGAACAGUAUACAGAACCCUGAAAUAAAGCUGCGUAUUUACAGCUAACUGAUUUUUGACAAAUCUGAGAAUUUAUACUGAGGAAAAGACACCCUCUUCAAUAAAUGUGCUAAGAAAAUUGGCUAUAGAAGAAUAAAACUGAACUCCUAUCUCUCAUCAUAUAGACCUUAACUCAAAAUAAAUUAAAGAUUUAAAUGUACAACCUGAAAGUAUAAAAAUACUAGUAGACAACUAAAGCAAAAUUCUUCUGGACAUUGACCUAGGCCAAGAAUUUAUGACUAAGACCUCAAAAGCACAGGAAGGACUUAAUUAAACUAAACAGGUUCUGCAAAGCAAAAUAGAUAAUCUAGAGUGAAGAAACUGUUGAAUGUGAUUAAAUAUCUGUGAACUGUUAGUCUAACAGGGGUCUAAUAUUUAUAGUAUUUGAGGAACUCAAACAACUCAAUAAAUUAAAAACAACCAAUCCUGUUAAAAAGUGGGCAGAGGACAGGAAUAGACAUUCCUGAAAAGAAGACAUAAAUGGCCAACAGGUAUACAAAACAAUGCUUCACAUCACUAAUCAUCAGAGAAACACAAAUGAAGACCAAACUGAGAUACCCUUUUAUCCCAGUCAGAAUGCCUAUUAGGCAUCUAAAAAGACCAAAAAAUAACAGAUAAUGGUGAGAAUGUGGCAAAAAAGGAACUCUCAAACACCAUUGGUGGGAAUAUAUAUCAGUACAGUCACUAUGAAAAAUAGUAGGACAAUUUCUUGAAUUUUAAAACCAGAAUUAAUGUUUGAUAGAGCAUUGUCACUACCAGAUAUCAACAAAAUAAAUUAAUAAAGUAAUGCCUGCACUCACAUGUUUAUUGCAGCACUAUUCAAAAUAGCAAAUACAAAAUCAACCUGAGUUUCCCCCAACGGAUGGAUGGAUAAUGAAAAUGUGGUACAUAUACACUAAGAAAUGCUACCUGUGCAUGAGAAAGAGAAAAUUCAUGUCAUUUACAGCAACAUGGAUGGAACUGGUGGUUAUUAUCCUAAGUAAAAUAAGCCAGGCACAAAAAGAAAAAUAUUGCAUGUUCUCACUUAUGAGUUAAAGAAAUUAAUUACAUAGAGGUAAGGAGUAAGAGAGAUGACAGAAUAGAUAACAGACUGAAAGGGUAAGUUGAGGGUAGAGAGAAGACUAAAGAGAAGUAGGUUAAAGGGUGUAAAAACAUACAGUUAGACAGAAAAAAUAAGUUUAUUUUUUUCCACAAAUGGGACUUCUUAUUUAUAUUUUUAAAAGUCUGAACUUUAAACAGAUUAUUUAACUGGUUGUUCAUACUCACAAACUUGUUCAACUUUAGCAGUUGUCUCAUCCCCAGUAGCUUUUCCAGAACUAUUACCUUCACCAUGAAACUCCGUGAGUUGUCCCAGUUCAGACUCGGGCUACUUCAGCACUUUUACUUUUCUGAAAAAGACAUCAUGGAGAGGAUGAAUAGAUUGGCAAGGCUUCCCCCCGCCCCCAAUUCUGUAUGGAAUCAAUUUAUUGGCCACUUCUUUCAAGUCAUUUGUUUCUCAGGUCAUGAUUUCCAUCUUCUUUUUCUGGAUUUGGUGGACCCACUGGUGCUGAGUGUAAGAGGUCUAGAUCUAAUUUUUGCAUUUUUUAGUAAAACCAAUGCAGAACAGACAAAACAAAUCAACACCAAUAGUGUUCACAUCAAAAAAACUUUAAUCAUGGUCUGCCACUUUUUACUGUGGAACACAUUUUAUCAUGGGUAAGAUUAAUGCCGUGGAAGUUAGGAAGUUUUUGACAUGAACAUCUUCAGGAAUCGGCUGGAAUUUUCCAAAUUUACCUUCAUUAUUCUGCACGUACGCAAAACUCACUUCAAACACAUGACCCUUGAUGCUGUCAGAUGCAAUUUUAGUUGCUUGAGCCCCAGUGACUAGUGUCUUUCCAGUAUUUCUUAUAUUGAACAUAGCAGGUGCUUUUACAUCACACCAUUUUUCUUAGAAAAUAGAUCAACUACCUUUUUUUCUUGGCUCCUUUCUGCCACCUUUUGUGAGGUGUUGUUUUUGCCAACCACCAGGGGGCUCCUCAGAGAGCCAGAAAGGCUAAAAUUGAUAUUUGAUAGUAAAGUAGGGUGAAUAUAGUUAGCAAAAAAUAUAUUGUACACAGGUGAUGAAGACGCUACAUGUCCUGGCUUAAUUGCUACUCAUUGUAUAGAUGUAACUUUUUAAAUUUAUACAAAUUUUAAAUUUAUAUAUAUUUAAAAAGGAGUAAGAAAGGAUAAGAAAGUAAAAAAUUAAAUAUUUUUAUUAUGACUGUUAUGUACUCACUACCUGUGCCUUUCAAAGCAAGGGAUGGGCAACAAUGUGGUAUGCUUAAGAAGUAAUCCUCAGGCCUUUAGCCAUGGCCAAGUCAUCAUCCCUGGAUAGUUUUCUCUUGGCGCCUGAAAAACACAGGCCAUCAUUUGCAGGUGUAUUUAUGGCCAACUAUAUGACUUUACCAUGUAGACAACAUAGUUUAAAUUUUAGGAAAGAAAGAAACAUACUGAGAUUAUAUCUACAUAUAGUAUGCAGUAUUAUCUCUCUAUAUCAAUAUCUGCUUCUGUCAUAAAAUAAAGAACAACUCUAAACACAGUACUAUGGGCUCAAGAAAUUAUUUCCCACAUUUCUAAUUCAUACUCUGGAACUGGCAGACAUUGCCAUACAGAUGAUCACAACAUCUACUUAAAGUCACACAUCACAGUGUACUCCAUAGAUAUGUAUAAUAAUUCUGUACUUAUUCCAUAUCAGUUAAAAAACAAAACCUAAAAAGGCAAAAACACACACCACACACAUUAACCACAUAUAGAAACUUUACUAAGUAGGAUUUGAUAAUUGGUUAUAUGUGGGAUGUGAAUGAGAAGGAGACAACAGCAGUGUCUCUCAUUUUGCUGUCCAGAGUAAAGGGGUGAGAGGUGGUGCUAUGUUUUGAGGUAGAGAAGAAAAAAUACUAGAAGACGGUAAGGUUGCAGGCAAUAAACAUCUCAAAAUUGUGUUAAGAAGAUGAAUGCUUUUCUAAGACGUUUCAGUGGAAAGAACCAGUAAUAUGUUGAUAAUUUGGGUAAAGAACCUAAAAGAGAUGUGUAUGUGAAAACAGACAGUUAAUAAUGAUAUAUCUAGAGAUGAUAUCUGGAGAUUCAGUGAGAAUAAGAAGGUGAUAAAGAGUAACCAUAAAAAGAGAGAAGGACGCAGUACAGAAGCCUACAGGUAAAAGACAGACAAGAAAUAAACUGAUCAGAGGAAUAACAAGAAAUAAACUGAUCAGAAGGAAAAUCAAGGGGAUAUGGUGUCAAUAAAACAAAAGAAAACAGUGUUCUCCUAGUACAGAGAUUGUCAAGUAUAUCAAACAUAACUCAAAGCAAAGUAAAAGUGAAAGUGUGUAUAUUGAAUUUAGUGUCAUGGAGAUUCUUUUAGAUUGGAUUCCUCCGAAAAGGUGACCCAGAAAAGAAGACUUAUGAGGCAAAAAGUGUAUUUGAAUAGGGAUUUGAGCAAUUUCCGGUUCAAAAAAAAUAAAGUAAUAUCCAAAAGGAGAAAUACCAGCGAAGUGUGGUUAAGGUGUGGAUUAUCAUUGUGAGCAAUAAGGGCUUCAUCCAGCGAGGGGGCCUCUGAGAUAUAGUGCAGAUCAUGCCUCAAAAUGGUCUGAGUGAGGGAGAGGAAAGCUUGCACAGUGAUCAGUGGGCUCUUUUCCCUCUGGAAUUGAGGAGUCUCAUGAAUAGGGUAAAUCCUUUGCACAUUCAAGCUGCCCUAGAAAUGAGUAGAUCAACUUUAUGUGACAUAGCAGAAUGGCACCAGGAGGGGCAGUGGAGAGUCACAAGCACUUGAGUUGGGAAUGUGUCAAUAAUUUCAUUGCGAAACUUGAUCCUUAUUCAAUACUAAUAUUAAUGAAAUGGAAACUGUAGAGAACAAGAGAAUAAAAAUACACAAAACAGAGUAUCAGUAUAGAAAGUUUUCUGAAAAAGGAGGAGUAUGUGAGAUGCAGAGCAUUAGUGGAAGAAAUAGGUUAAUUUAGCAAUGAAUAUAAUAACUAAUGUUUAUUUUAAAAUUUCUGUGUGCUAAGCAUUAUAUUAAUGAGAAGCAAAAUCUUUACAACUUUCUAGAAAGCUCUAAUGUUUUAUACAAUAUGGAUAAUAAAUAAAUUGGUCAGUGAACUAACAAUAUCAGCAAACAAAUAGCAUCAUUUUUUUUAUAUGGUAAACUCAAUCAAAUUCAUUUCCUUUUCAUCCUGUCAGAUGCAUGAAAUCAAGGUAUUUCUAAGAUACUAUCCAAAAGGAAGCAUAUUGAAUGAGGUUAUUUUUGUUUGUUCACAUAUUAAGAAUAGUUUAUCUAAAAUUUUAUUUGGUUAAUAGUAACACCUAUUUUUAUUCAACCUUGGGAUCCAUUAACAUUUUACCCAGUAUUAUUAUAUACAUAAAGCUAUAAACAGCCAUAAGAGAAGAAAAUGCAUCUUGUAUUUUUGGUUUCUACAAAUUUCACGGUAAAAGGCAGAAUGGUAAAAUGUAUACAGUUGCAGUUAAAUUUUUGAGGCUUUGUUUCUACUUGAAAGAGACACCUAGGUAUUGUGAACUUCUCAGGAGACCAUUUUAUAACAAGAAACUCUUGUAUUUACUUAUAAAAAUCCAGUGUUAGAUACGUAAUCUCUUGUACUGAACAUCAGAGAACCUAGAUGUGCUGUCAGACAGUAUUUGCGGUGGUAAGAAUGAAUGGAUAAAGUCUCUUGGGCCUCCUCUUUUGUCAGUUAUUUUUAAGCUUUUCUUAGCUGUGUCUGACAGUGUUGUAAGUCCUUUCAUCUUUUUAAAGCUUUGGCAGAAACUAACUUCUUAAAACUACCACUCAACUCUGAUAAGCAAAAUAGUAUGUUUGUUAACAAUGCUCAGUCAUAGUCUCGUAUUUCACUUUAGCCUGGGCGACACAACGGAAACUCUGUCUCAAAUAAAAAAUAGUCUUGUAUUUAAAAAUAUGAUACACGUUAUAAAUUUUUAUAUAGUAAUGACUUGCCAACUUGAGUUUAGAACUUACUCAGCAUAUUCAUCGACAGUUUACUGUUUCUGAAGGUGCAUAGAUGCCCUUAAUAUUCUGAGCUCUUUUAAGUAAUCAAAACUUCUUAAAGGGAAAGAAAAAUAUGCUUUGGAUCAGAUAGAGCAUUAAAGCGUAUAGCUUCCCCAUGGUGAUGGGACCCUUUGCAUGACUGCUUUCUUAUUCUUUUCCUUGUUCCUGUGUUAAAUCAGAGGUCCAGUCCACAGAUUUUAGAGGUGGUCUCGUUGCUGCUAUCCCUUUCGGAGUACCUGGAAAUGAACAGCCAGUAGUUGGGCUCAAGCAAUAGGAAGUGAAGGUACAUUUUCAAUGUGGUGACCAUGUCUGCAAGAAUUUCCACAGCAGAUAAGAUGAAUAUUUUGUGGAAAGGCAGUUGAAUAAAGACAUAAUUGAGAGGAAAUGAUAAAGUUAAUGAAAAUAAGAAUGUUACAAGAAUGGAAUGAAACAAGGACUUUUUUGUAGCUAAAGAGCUUAAUAAGCAGUCUAGGAACUAUCUGACAAAUCUCAACCCUGGAGGCUUCAGUGAAGAUGCAUUCUCCUUCCUUGCUCCUUUGGUCACCAAUUUUAGGGGACAGUUCUUUAUAAAUAUUUUUUGUUUUUCAAGGCCUGUGCUUUCUGACAAAAAAAAAAAAAAAAAAAAAAAAAAAAAACACUGGCAAGCUUGAUUUAAGAAUGAUUGCCUUAGCAAGAGACAAAGUAUUACUCCAUAGAGAUAAAACACUCACCUUCCGUAGAGCCAUUUGUUCAUAUCCCAGGGCAGUAAAGAUCUAGGCAUCUUUCUUUCAGUUAUGGGACAUUGGGCCCACACACCAGCUGCCCUCUGUGAGGUCUGAAUCACCUAACAGCAGGGUUCCUAUGACACAGGAACAAGUAGACAUUUGGCUCUCACUGUGUCAUUCCAUGAGGGAGGCUCAGGAUUUGGGGAGCAAGUACUGAGAUUCUCCAUGAGCAGUGGUCCUUGAGGAAGCGCCACACUCUCUUCCACAGUGGUUGAACUAGUUUACCCUCCCACCAGCUACAUUUCCGAUGGAGCCUGCAACAUACGCCUCCUGGGUUCAAAUUAUUCUCCUGCCUCAGCCACUGGAGUAGCUGGAACUACAGGCUCAGCAGGAUGAAAACUAAUGUUCUUCCCACAACAUCAAAAUCUGACCUAUACGAACCUGACCUGAACCUGUAUGUGAGCAAGAGCCUAAAUUGGCAUAUGAGCAAGAAAUAAAAUUUUACUUCAUGUGAAAUUGUAUAUAUUUUGACUGUCCUUUUUAUCAUAACCUACUCUAGUUAAUUCACUUUUAUAAUUUGGGUUAGCACAACUCAGAAAAUAAAAGCAUUUUUCAUUUAAAUAUGGAAAUUAGCUUAAGUUUUGAUAAUUUUAAAACUAAAUUCUAACAGCUAAAAGCUUAUUUUUUCAAGAUCAAUUUUGAUAAUUCAUAACACAGAAACUAUACUCACAAUCAGUCUAUUAAUAUGCAAAAAGAAUUAAUUCGCAGGAGCGGUUUGCUGCAAUGUGCAUCAUAAAAGAAUGCAAUCCAUCAGCUCAACCUUCAAAGUUCAUUUUGUUAAAAGUCAUUUCAUACCUACUCUAUUUUCUCCAACAGUUUUGCCUUAUUAUUUUGUUCUUUGAUUGCAAUUUUAUCUCUUUGGGUUCAGAAACAACAUUUAGUCAGGUAAUACUUUCCAAAUACAGAUUUUCUUCUGGUUUCUAGCUUAUUUCUGCAUUUCCCUCUGGUCACUUUUCUUUAGGCUACUGAUAUCUUAGAAGUAUGUAACACUAUCUUGAGCAUAAGUGGUUCAGGAGUUGCAGUUUGCAGUACAAUGGUUCUUUAUAAUCUUCCUAAAAAACUGUAGACAUUCUUCAAGAUUAGAGAUCCUAAAAUCCUGUCUCUUGCUUUGCUCAAUCCCUUUUGUGAAAUUUCAGGGCAUUGAAACUAACAUCAAAACCAUUGUCAAAUAUUAUGUAUUUUGCAAAAGGAUUCUUUUUCUCAGGUUUAUCUGAAAAAUCAUAAAGUGAUAUCCAAAAUAGUAUAACUCUUACACUGGGGCUUAACUUUCAUUUUUUGUUCAAGAUUAAUGUAAAAGCAUUAUUGCAACUGAGAUUCACUGAUGAAUGUGUAAUUCAUUAACUGACUUACUGAUUUUUAGUGAAAGUUAAUCAUUCUGCCAAGAAGUAAAAUUAACCAAAAACAUAGCAGAGAAUCCCCAAUCUACAAAUUAAAAUAAAAUCAGGAAUCAUUAUUUCUUAGUAUAAAAUUUAUAAAAUAAUUUGUAAGGAAAAUCCUAUAGCAGACAAAAUAAAUUGAACACAUUCAUCUAUGUGUUUUUAGUUGAUUCCCAUAUCAUUUUGGUGGAAAACAUGCCUAGAUUUGGUACAAAUACACAGUUGGUUGAAAUAAUGAUAAGGGAAGGACUGGUAGGAAAUGUGAAUGCCUAGUGGAAGCUAGGUGGGCAUAAAACAAAUAGGAAUCCACUGUUAUUUGAAGAAACUAUGAAUUGGGAGUAAUUAAGGACAUGACAAUGUUUGAUUCCAUUGCCAUCUGAACUAAUUUUUGCCAGUCUUCCACCUCUCAUUAUAAAAAAAUCUAAAAAUUAUAGUACCUUCUGAUGAAUGUUAUAUAACAAAUAGAUAAACAUAGAGAAAUAAAAAGGUAAACUAAAGAAAUUGGAGGAAGUAUGUGAAAGAAAUCUAUAGUGGAUAAAAAUAAAAACAGACUAUAGAGAGAAUAAGAAAAUGAUGAACAAAGAUAAAUUACCUAAUAACAAGUGUUAGACUAGAAAACAUUAAAAGAAAGUACAACUACCUUCUUUCCUUAGUGAUAAAAUCAAUAUCACAAUUCUUGACUAAUAUAGCUAUUUUCUUUUUUCUAAAUAUCUGAGAGAAUAUACAUUUUUAAAUCGCAGAAGAAAGCCUUCAUUUUCAUUUUUCUUCCCUUGGAGAUCACUGAGGAACAAAUAGAAAAUAAGGAUCAAAAUAUAAAUAGCAAUUUCAAAGAAACCAAGAGAUAUCUAAAAUUCUGAAGUGCAAAAUGGAGGCGGAGGUAUUCUAAAUGUUCAGAAGGAUGCAUAAUGAGUGCAGAAAUGUGUAGCUCAGCAUACCGUCCAUUGCCAGGAAUCUUAUAAAAGCAUACAUAGUACUUUAUCAAGUGAGUAGUACAACCUGACGUAUGAAGCAACAGCCAUAUCUUCAACCAUGAAACUUAAGGCAAACACUGUAACAUCUUGCUGCUUGAUCAUCUGGCAAGCAGUGAUAAAUGGACACAUGGACCAUCCAUAUAUCUGGAGAGGAACAUACUGUUGUGGCAAAGAGGGGAAGAGAUUCCACCAUUGGGAACAGCCCUGGGGUGCUAAUCUUCACUGGCUGGGGAGAUCUCAUUCACACACAAUCCUAAAACGAGCGAAAUUCUGGCAACCAAGUACAUGAACCUAGAUUCUCUUACAGCAAAAGUUACGUGGUUCAAAGAAGAGAAAUAAUUCACACAGUAAUGGACUAAUACAAAGUAAAUAUAAUAAAACAGGAAAGAAAAGGAAGCGCAAGGAGAACCAACCAAAGGAAGAAUGCAAAUCCCAAAAUCGUUGCUGUGGACCUGCUAACGUCAGCACGAAAAUGUCACACUUAAUUAUGAAGUCAUUGAGGCAGUUAUCUUCAUAACAUAAGAGCACUAAGUAUGUCUUCACACGGAAGAAAUGGUGAGAAGAAAACUAAGCUGUUCAGACAGAAAAUAAAUGUAGUAAGUAAAAACUCUCAUAGAAAUAAAGCAUGCAUGAAGUGUUCCAUAUUUUCAAAAGGCUAAAUGAGAAGCAGUAGAAAUAUUACAGACAGUUGCAGAAUCAUAGUAGGGAAAACAAAGGACAAGACUUAAACAUUGAGCAAAAUAGAGUAAAAAAAUUUUAAAAAUUGAAGAUACAAAGAAAAUUAAGCAUUCUUUUUCAAACAAGAUUUAAUAAACACUUAACUAUUAUCUUCUAAUUGGUAUGAUCUCAAUAGUGGAAUGAAGAAUAAUAUUUAGAGAUUCUAUUAAAAAAAUAAAAUGUUUUAGAUAUAAAGAAACACUUGAAUUUACUCCUUUAAAGGGAAUAUUAUAGCCCAGAAAAAAAGUGAGUUAAAUUAUCUACUAGAAAAUAAACUCUGUAAGUUAGUUGAAUGUCGAAUUUCAUAUAUAUAAAUGCCUUGAGUAGCCAGAAAAAAAGAGAUUUGAUUCUUCUAUAUGGUGAAAAAAUAGGCCGACCUUGAACUUCUCCACAGCGAUAAUCAAUUUUAUAAUGAUAGUGAAAAACUACUUAGACAAUCUUCAAGAAAGGAAAGUGUGAGCUAAGACAUUUACAGCUAGCUAAACUACCAUUCAGACAUGAAUGCAACAGCAACAAGGAAGUCACAUUUUGAUCUUUGCUGAAACCAGACUUUCUGGUAAUGCCAUUUGAACUAUAAGUUCAUUGUGAAGAAAAUAUCAGAGAAUACAUGUUAUUGACUAAGAAAAUGAUGGCAAAUGAUCAGUCAAGGGACAUUUAACUAUUUAAGUCUUUCAUUGAGUAGGAUGAAAAGCACAGCUUGUGGUUAUAGAUAUGGUAUCACUUUAAUAACAGCAAACAAUAAAGAUAUGCAGAAAUGUAUAAGGUACUGUGUGUGCUAAUUUCAAAAUUUUAAUAGUUGGAGUAAAAUACAUAUCAUUUAGGUGCAUAAAUAUUUUUAAAAGUAUACAUGUAUCCUUUCUUAUUUUAAAAAUUGUUAGAGUAUUCUCAGAUUGCAUUUCCAAGAGUACUUACAUUGCAUAACAAAAAUAAGAAACACAGAUUAACAUUUCUAGAAAAUUAUCUUGCUUCUUUUGCUUCAAUUUCUCACUUUCAAAACUUACUAAUUUUAACACUCACUACAACUCUGGACUGAAAACUUUAAUGAAAACAAGGAGCUAAAGUGGAUAGCACUGAAUGUAAUUUAAAUUCUGUGAUUAAUAAAACAAGAUUUAUGUUUCUCAAGAAAUAAAUAUAAAUGCAACAAUGACAUUUGCAAAAAUGUGAUAAAUAGAUUGAGUCAUUCAGUAAAUAUUAAUUUUGGUUCACUGUGUGAGGUACUAUGUUUAUAUGUGAGAGUUAUAAAGUUAGAUAUUAAAAUGUGUUUUGAAUAAAAUAUAUUUAUCUUGCCUUAUUUCUGAAAUGUUUUCAGUGAAAAUUAAACUUAUUAAUUAUAGUUCUUCAUGAGGUUAUCUUUUCAAAUAAUUUUCAUUAAGGCAAAUUAACCUCAAAUUAUUGCUACAACACACAAAGGGUUAAUAAAAUGGUUAAACAAUGGCCUCAAAUAUUUACAGUACAUUUUGUAAUGACAAACUCAUAUUUUAUGUUUUAUAAUCUUAUGUUUUAUUGGGAAAAAUACUAUUUUUAUUUGUUUUGUUUUGAAAGAAGGAUUAUUUAGAGAGGGUGGUGAUAGUGGCUAUGGGUAUGAAUUUGAAUAAAAGAAAUCAAGUAAUAGAUCCUAUUUAUUUUCCUAUAUCUUUCCAAUUUUGCAUAUCUAAAGCCUGCUUUUAUACAACACUUUUUUCAUACAGUAAGUUCGUCGGCUUUUUCACUAGAGUUAGAAAAUAUUUUCGUUUUUCAGUUGUAACCAGAGAUUUUAAAUGCACAGCUCCCGAAUUUAUAUUAUUCUCUAACUUUCAAUACUGAUAAAUCAAGGUCUUAGAGUUUUAAAAUAUCAAUUCUUAGAUACUUGCACUAAGCCUUUCAAAAGUUAUUCUCUAUAUGCCUACAUGGUUAAAAUAUACAUAGAUAACUAAAU